AAAAAAACCUUUGCGAAAAAAACCCUCGAGCCCUGAGCAGAUCGAUCUCCCCCGCCGACCUCACGCCCGAUCGCACGCCCGAUCCACCACUACCCCCCCUCCCCGGCCGAUCCAUCCCGACCGCCGCCGCCCUCUCCCCGCACUCGUACCCAAGGAAUCAGCCGGCGGCCAGAUCCGCCCCUCCACUCACCCAACUCUCCCUCCGCCGCCGCGGAUCUCGCAGGGAAGACGCGGACGAGAUCCCAAGCCGCUGCUCCUCCUCUCCCGGGAUGCAGCCGCCGCCGCCGAACCAGGGAGACGCCGGCGACCGUCGCCGCCGUCGUGGAUCACCAUGACGCCGCCGCCUGCACCGCCACCGCCGCGGCGUCGCGGCUGGCGUUGGCGAAUCCAUUCCCAGCGGCGGGGGCUUCCGGCGAGGAGGCGAGCGAGCUCGGGGAGCUCCGGCGGGGGCUUGUCGCCGGUGAGGCGAGGCCAAGGCGGCGGCGCGCGGGCGCGAGGAGGCGGGGUCGAGGAGGCGCAGGAGGACGCCGGCCGGUGGGGCUCCGGCGGGGGCUUGGCGAGGGCGGCGGCGGCCGGCGUGCUCGCUUGGGAGGAUGGAGGCUGCCUCACCGGGGCUCAGGCGUGGCAGCACGGCGUCGGGCCGUUGCCGAUGGCGCCGGGGCCGGGGCGGUGGUUUGACGGUCGACGAGGAGGAGGUGCUGUCCUGGAGCCAGCGACGGCGGCUGCAGCUUGACGAUGCCGGCGUCAACAGCUUGCUUCAGGGGCUGCAGGCCGUGAACGGCGUUGUGCUUGCGCGCGAGACCCGUGUCUGAUUUGGAAAGAAUCAAUCCGGUGAAGAAGAAGGCCAAUGCAACUGCUCUCUAGCUAGGCACUGGAGUAUCUGCACCCCCAAUGGAACGCUACGAAUUGCUGCUGGUACUGAACAUGGGGACGGCGCAUGGCACUACAAAGCACUACAAAGCAGUGCCACAUGGGUUCCGGCGCAUGGGGACGGCAAGAUCUGCAUCGUCCACAUCAUCGACACGCAGUUUGUUAGCUUGGAUGGAUUUGUGGCCUCGCCUCAUCAGGUCCGGGAGGACAAAAGUGCUUGGCGAGUAGAUACAUGCAGCACGGGACCAAGAGAAAAAAAAUUAAACUGAACGCUCAAGGGUCGUCAAAUUCAGCUUUAGAACAAAAGUCGCGGGAUAAGCUCUUUCAGUCUAUGGAUGGACAGCUGAAUGCGCAAGAUAGAUGAUGUUCGGAAUUUGGAUCAUGAGCUUCCAACAAUGACCGUGCGAGAUGCUGGACAUGGCGUACAAGGCCGAUGUUGAUGGUGGCACAUAUACUCAUCAGCUGCCUACUACACGUCAGGGAGGAGGAAGCUAGGGAACCCAUAUUUGAAACACGAGAGCAAGGAAAGGAUUAAUGGUUACUGAUGAAACCAUUAAUCAAUAAUUGUGAUGAUUAGUUGUUCCUGAAUCACAAUUAAUCCUUGUAUAACUCCAUGUGUUGGUGUUUUGAGUGGGUGACCUGUGACCUAUUCUAUCCAAAAGAAUAAUGGUGUGCAGUUUCAGUCGUGAGUGGAGGCGAUAUGGCCACGGACUAUAUUUAUCCUAUCAAACCGUCGGUAACUGAAAACUAAUCAUGCUGGUGGCAAUGGGGGCAGCCUUAUAUUCCCCAAUGAUGUUUGUGUAAAAUGCUAUGUUUAUUUAUUUAUUUUGUUCAAAAAUCUUGCCUGUGUACAGUUUUUCAUGCAUGGCACUACAGAACCAAGUAUUGGUAGAUUUGGUAAUGCUUUAUUUAAAGUUCUUGUGUACAUCAGACUGACUAUUACCACAAACAUGCCAUUUAUAUCAUUUGAUGGGAGCCAAUGCCAAGGCCUUUUUAUGUCCCCAUUUAUUUAGCAUCAUCAUGGUUAGUCAUUCCAAUUUUAGAAUCUCAUAAUGUGAUGCCUAAUUACUUUGACCGAUUAUGAAUACAGUGAUUUGUUGUAAUUUACAGAACAAUUUUUUGAUAUGAUGAGUUGUUUGCAAUGUCUGCUUACUGUUUUUACAGGACACCAGAUUUCAAUACCCCUUUGUAAUAAUUUCUUUGGUGAUUUGUUGGAUAAGCACACACCCAGAUUUUGGGGAUUAGUAACAUUAGUAUGCAACAGCAUCAGGGUUGUCAUUCGUCGCGCUCCGUUCCUGCGCCACCGCCGCUGCCGCCAACAUACUCUCUGCCCAAGUGCUGCCACUGGGUUGCUGUUCUCCAUGCUCACGCACUGCCUCUAGGUCGCCUUUCAUUGCGCAUCCACUCGUUGUUGCCGGCGUGCUGAGAAGCUUCAAUGGAGCCUACUGGUUUAGGACACAAGGCAACUCGGUUUCCCAGUGAGAUCAAUCAACACAUGCUUCAGUCACUUGGCGUCGCCCGCUUUCAUACAAUUGCCCAAUGACUCUUUGAUUUAAUUGUGCCUCUGACGCUCAGCUACUCAGGAGGGUUGGAAGAUUGUGAGCUAGAUGUACCAUCAAUGCGGUGGUGAGCAUAUUGGGGAGAUGACGAAGUGAUUGGUGUGUAUGAAGAUCCUAACUGCAUUUUUAAACUAAACUGUUCGUAUUUUUGGUCCUUGCCUGUAUGUAUGGAAAAAGCACUUGUGAGUCCAUCUGAUUACAACUAUGAAUUUCUUGUUUGAAAUGUUGAGUUUUAAAACCCAAGUCUUAUGGUCCAUACUUUGUUAUGUAGAGAAACCAAACCAGAUGAUGGUUGCGACUAAUCGUACAUUCUUACUAUAUUUGCGACAAGAGCAUUUUCGUGCUAUAUAUCUCUGUUUCUCUGUUGCAUCAAUGUUUUGAGCACCAGUCCCUUCUGACUAGUUCGCAUGAGAUAGAGAGAGAGCGCUUGUUGUGUUGUUUGCUCAUGUAUUUAUUUGAUACAAAGUGAAUAGCUGCAUGGAUUUCUGGAGUGAGGGAAACACCGAUUCAUUUGGGACUAUCUAUGUAUUUUGGUUCACCUGAAGAAGCACCGCUGAUGUAAUGUGGUACGCUCACAUAUUGAUAUUCGUGAAGAUAAGUUAUGCACCAACACUAUUUUUAGUUCACGUGUUGAUGUUCGUGAAGAUAAGGUAUGCACCAAUGCUAUUUUUAAUUCAGAUCAGUCUUUUGAUUUCUAAUUGUCAUGUGAAGUGUUGUCAGUUUGUCAAAAUGAUGCAUUCAUGCUAAGGAGGUCACUGGAAAGGGUGAAGGUUGAAUCAUCAGGUGUCUUGAAGCCUUAACUAUUGAAGCUACCGAUGACAAAGUAAUAGUCAUUGUGUUCUGCAAAAAAGUUGAAGCUAAUAAUGGAUGUUCAUAUAUUAUAUUUUAUGCUGAUGGCUUAACUGAUUCAUGUGCAGUUGAUGUUAACCAAGUUGGAAUAGAAAUAUGAUAUUUCUCUUGUUUAGUUAAUUGGCUUCUAUACAUUCCAUCUUGCAUGCAUCUAGAGAAAGAAAGUAUUUUUUCGUAUUUCCAGUUUAUCAAGUUCAGAGUUCUAAAUGGGGGAGAGAGAGAGAGGGAGAAGUUCACCGUGAAGCAAUCAAAAACGGCAAGCAUCCUUUACUGAAACAAAUAUAAUUGUGCGGUUACAUGUUUGAAAUGCAAGUGUAUGUGGGUGAGGGUGGAAGGAGGAAUUGCGAUUUGGAUGCACCAUUGAUAAAGGUGAUGAGCUUGGACUUGGGAAGUGGAUUAGAGAAAGAAUAAGAAAAAAAGAGUGGUUUAACGGUAAUUUUUUGACAAUACAACGUGAUGUUCAUAUAAGGUUCAUAAAGAUCUAUGUCACUGGUGUAAUUAUGACAAAAUGAACUGAAAACUCAAUGAGUUGUAGAAGGUCAGAAGAGAUGCAUACAAAUAACUGUUCUUCUUUAUAUACAAUAGAUAAUUGUCCGCUUAUUGCAACUGGAUAUAAAUAUUUUAAUAUGAUUUUGUAAAUAAACAUUUACCAAAUUCUGCCCAUGAUAUACCUAUUUGAAUAUAUUUUAGGAUAUUAUUUUGCAAUCACUUAUUGACUUCCAAAGGAAAAAGAUAAGUUUAUUUGGUAAGUCAAUUAAAUGUGGGACAACUAUGAUGAUUUUCAUGGAAUGAUGCUCUGUCCAAGGAUGGAAGUUUGGAUGAACCACUCUGCCAGCUGGCAGGAAAAGGAACAUUAUUCUUUUUUAAGUAUUAUAUAUAUAGAUAAUAUAAAAAGGUGCGUUUAUAUAUGUUUUUAUUUUUGCAGAGUACGAGAGAGAUGAGAUGGAUUAGGUUGACGUUCAGGAAGAAUCCACCGAUGAGGGUCCCAAGGCGAUGUCGUUGGCAGGUCAAAAAAUUCACCGAUUUUGUGCAACAAUGUGGCUAUAUAUACGAUCAGAACAAAAAUUAAAAAGCAUGUAGCAACGCACGGGCAUUCUACUAGUGUGACAUUGGUUGUCACCCCUCCUGUCUAGGACCCGAGCCAGCCCUGUGUCAUUGAAGUUUUUUUUAUGUAGGGAAAUAGCAAAAGUCCAAGUAACAUGGUGCCGGUGGCAGCGGCGGCGGAUGAAUAAAGAGCUUUGUUGCUAGGGUUAGUUAUCGAACGAAUGGUAUGCACUCUCAGUUUGGUCAUUCUAUGCAUAUAGACAUUGUGCGGAUAUUUUUCUUUCCCUUAAC